rnacentral:rRNA from 1 species
AGCGAACGCUGGCGGCAGGCUUAACACAUGCAAGUCGAGCGGGCAUUCCUGUGGUGUUAGCGGAAGACGGGUGAGUACCUCGUGGGCUCGUGUUCUUCGGUUCGGAAUAACCCAGGGGAACUUGUGCUAAUACCGGAUACCUGCGAGAGAAGAAAGGAUUAACUGCCGAUGGACCGGCCCGCGUCUGAUUAGCUAGUUGGUGAGGUUAUUGCUCACCAAGGCGACGAUCACUAGCUGGUCUGAGAGGAUGAUCAGCCACACUGGGACUGAGACACGGCCCAGACUCCUACGGGAGGCAGCAGUGGGGAAUAUUGGACAAUGGGGGCAAGCCUGAUCCAGCCAUGCCGCGUGAGUGAUGACGGCCUUAGGGUUGUAAAGCUCUUUUCCCCGGGACGAUAAUGACGGUACCGGAAGAAUAAGCCCCGGCUAACUUCGUG